AUUGCGAUCGCCGAAAAGCAAAUAGAGUAGGCA
rfam:Odoribacter sp. CAG:788 genomic scaffold, scf186